rnacentral:lncRNA from 10 species
AGGAAACUGAGUCGCAGUGAGGUUAAGUAACAUAGCUGUGCUCCUGUCACUGCACAGCAGAUGAACGGGUGAACCAAGGAAACUGCACUCAAAGAAAUGUCUUGUAACGGCUCUAACUUUGGUUUGGCAUGUCACCUUUCUAACGAUAUCAGGCAGAGGAAAUAUUCCGUCAAAGCUGUGAGUGUGGAAGGAAACAGCCUGGAAGGGGUCCAAAGACACACUGUAUCUUAGCAACUUUGGAGGUUCAGAAAAGCCAACAUAUCAGUUUGGGAAGCCGGCGGGUGGAGGUUCCACCCUACCCAACCACGAAUCACUGAAAGACACUCCCCAAGGUGAAGACGCAACCGUCUUCAAGAUCUGCCACCUAAGCUGCUGAAAAAUCAAAUGGCUCUCAGUGAGCAGGGAAUGAUACUCUCAUGAAAACAAGAUAAAAUGACGACGUCAAAAACCCAAAACAGGAAACAAUCAUAACCAGGUGAAGUCAAACACAGAAUGACUGAAAAAUGCCUUGCAGGAGCAUGUUGGGCCAAUUAAAAAUGUUAAACAAGCACAAAAUUAACUUCCACAAGAAGCAAAGGACAGCAGGAAUGUGGGUACUGUCUAUUCCAAGACCUUCGCUUGAGGUCUAAGGGUCUGGGUUUUGGAGAAUCCUUCUUUCUUAUCUCUGGAGAAUGGGCGAACUCUAAAUAUCCACUAAAGAAGUCUCGGGUGUCACCUUGUAGCCCCUAACCUUGUCUUUUGUAGCAAAGUGGCAAGUAUAUAUUUGGGUCGGGGGAGGUCUAAAUGAACUUGACUGAUAUUGACCUACAUCCUCGACAUUCUCUUCCCAAUUUGAUGCUGAUUGUAAAUCCUAACAAUCUAAACCCUGGCCCCUCUAAGCACAAUUCUGAAGCCCAGUGUGGAUCCUAACCCUCAGAGAACAUGGUAUAUAAUUGCCAUAUAGGUAGAAAUCCAUUCCCUGCUCUAAAGCCCAACUAAGGUUAUCUGUAGUUCCACUGUUCCUUGCUCUUAGGCAAUUAAGUCAUCACAUAGGUGAAACAUGUCAUUUCAAUGGAAGAGAAGAAGUGGGUGCUUUUAAAGCCUUUUCUUUCCUCUAAGGACUUAUUGUCCUUAAAACAUCAUUCAGUGGCAAUUAAAAAUAGGAAA